rnacentral:rRNA from 1 species
AGUGAGCGGCAAAGCUCAAAUUUGAAAUCUAGGCACCUUCGGUGUUCGAGUUGUAAUUUGAAGAUGGUAUCCUUGGGUUUGGCUCUUGUCUAUGUUCCUUGGAACAGGACGUCAUAAAGGGUGAGAAUCCCGUCCGAUGAGAUGCCCAUUCCUAUGGGAAGUGCUUUCCAAAAGUCA